rnacentral:lncRNA from 1 species
GCUCAUUUGGGCUUUGGAAUUGGGCUUGUUAUUUUAUUCUUCUUGGGUUUCAUUAUUUUUUAUGAUGGGCUGCAUGCAUUUUAUUGGAUCUGCAAGUAUGUUCACUAGUCUUAUUAUUUCUCUAUAAGUCUAUGUUCUUAUAUUUUGAUACAAUCUUUAAUUAUUAUUUUGGGCCUAUAAAUGUUUUAAUAAAUUUUAUUAAUUUUCUUUCAAGAUUAAGGAUUUAUAUUUUUAAAUUAUUAAUUAUUUUAUAAGUUUUAAAUUUAUUAAGUUAUUAAUUAUGUAUUAAAGUUUAUGGAUUCACUCAAAAUGAUUAUUGAACUUUUAUUUUAUCAUUCGGGCAAAGUGUAUCAAUAGCUAGGAAUUUCCUAUUCUUUAGAGCUUAGAACGAUACCUCGAGACCUAUUUAAGAAUAGAUUUCUUGUAGGUUCGAGUGACUAAGGGCAGUGAAGCUUCAAGCGAGCCAAGUAUCGAAUCUCCACUUUGAGGUGGGCUUUAUUUUACAUACAAUGUAUCUUGAGUUAUAUAAGCUCUGAUAUUUCAUGAAAGUUAUUUGUUUAUCCAAUAUAAAUGUUUUUAUGUGCGUUUUGUAUUGUUUAAUGCUCGCAUAAGCAUCGAUCGAGAUUCUCAUUUGGCCUAACACGUUAGAUGAGGAUUGUGUACACAAGGUUAGUGGCUCGGUGGGUUGAUCACCAUCGUGCACUAACAAAGCUAAGCAGGCGUUAUAAGGGUGCUCCUGGACACGUUCCAAAGCACAAAUGAUGAUGUGUUCCGUCUGGGUAGCGUCCCGGGUUCACUUAAGCGGCGGUAAGUGAUCCGACGGUGAUUAAGUCCCGGGAUCAUAAGCAGCGAGUAACAAUCGAACGUCACAUGGCGCGCCACUUAAUGAAAAAUGUUUUAUCAUGCUUAGAAGUGGAUUUUUGUUUUAAAACCUUCUAAGUUAUGAUUGUGAUAUUGGAUAAACCGCCUUAAUUAUUUCAUAAAAUAUUUAUAAACUGCAUAACCCACUGAGUACACUAGUGCUCAGCCCAAAAUAUUUUUAAAUGUUUUCAGGUUGAUCGAUUGGUGCAGACGGGGUUGAGCUGAGGCUAGGGUUCCGCUUCGUCUUUCACUUCCGCUAACGACUAGCUUGCUAUCUUGUCUUUCAAUCUCCUAAAUUAAGAACUUCUAUUAUAUGGUAAAAUAUUAUCUCGUUGAGCUUAGACCCUUAAUUCGUAUUUCAAUUAAUGAAGCCAUCGUUGAUUAUGAUCAGAGUCACGAAACUAAACUUAUGCGCUCCUGGAAAGUUGAAUGUUGUUAAUCGAUUAUGUCGCUCAAUGCCCAUUCAUUUAUUUCUUUUAUCUUUAUUUUAUUAAUCUCUUCAAAACACAGAUCCCUAAUCUUUUGGGUAAAUCUUCAUAAUUGAUCUGCUCAUAUCACAUUAUUUUCUUAUUUCUUUUGAUUGGGAAGUUGGGUCGUUACAAUAGGUGUGACAGAGGGAGUAUUUAUGAA